rnacentral:misc_RNA from 1 species
UUUCCGUAGGUGAACCUGCGGAAGGAUCAUUAUUGGAUUUUGAAACUUCAGGCUGCUGCUGGCUCUCCUCGGAGGGCAUGUGCACGCUUGUUGUCCAUUAUUUCUCCCACUGUGCACAAAUUGUAGACCUUUCAGUAGGCCUAUGUUGUUUUUCACAAUCUCUGAAUGUAAUAGAAUGGUUUUGAAUCUUGGGAAAUACAGUACAACUUUCAGCAACGGAUCUCUUGGCUCUC